CCGACCAAUUAUCUCAAUUAAGUAGUGGGUUUUAUUACGUGAGAGUUAUAUAAAAGGAGACAACUGUGUCAAAGCGUUACUGUCCCUUUGGUUGCAAACAUGAAGCUGUUUUUCUGUAUCCUGAUUGCUGCUUCCAUCUUUCUGACAGCAAAUUGUCAGGAAGUAUGUGCAUGUCCCAGGAACUAUGACCCAGUGUGUGGCGUCCAAGUCUACUCGAACGCAUGUGGUAGAGGGUGUAAUAAUGGGAUUCCUGCUGAAGGAUAUAAUUACAACCGAGCCACCAACACGUGCGACAAGGUCUAGGUCAAGGACGAUUAAUAUUAUCUUGACAUGAAGACACAUUUGAGGCAUCUACAAAUUAAAUAAAAGCAUUUGUCUUCUGA